CCUACGGGGGGCUGCAGUGGGGAAUCUUGGACAAUGGGGGCAACCCUGAUCCAGCCAUGCCGCGUGAGCGAUGAAGGCCUUAGGGUUGUAAAGCUCUUUCAGCGAGGAAGAUAAUGACGGUACUCGCAGAAGAAGCCCCGGCUAACUCCGUGCCAGCAGCCGCGGUAAUACGGAGGGGGCUAGCGUUGUUCGGAAUUACUGGGCGUAAAGCGCACGUAGGCGGAUCAGUUAGUCGGGGGUGAAAUCCCGGGGCUCAACCCCGGAACUGCCUUCGA
rnacentral:rRNA from 1 species